rnacentral:rRNA from 1 species
AUUGAACGCUGGCGGCAGGCCUAACACAUGCAAGUCGAACGAUUGGCGGACGGGUGAGUAAUGUCUGGGAAACUGCCUGUUGGAGGGGGAUAAUUCCUGGAAACGUUAGUUAAUCCCGCCUACCAUCGGUUUUGCCUAGAUGGGCUUUGCUUGUGGGUGGGGUAAAGGCUCACCUAGGCGACGAUCCCUAGCUGGUCUGAGAGGAGGACCGGCCACACGGGAACUGGGACACGGUCCAGACUCCUACGUGAGGCAGCAGUGGGAAUUAUUGCACAAGGGGCGCAAGCCUGAUGCAGACAUGCCGCGUGUAUGAAGAAGGCUUUCGGGUUGUAAAGUACUUUCAGCGGGGAGGCGUUACCCGAAGAAGAAGCAACGGCUAACUCCGUGCCAGCAGCCGCGGUAAUAC